GGGGAAGUGGCUUACUGAUUAAAGCGCUUGCCUCUCAAGCAUGAGGCUCUGGGUUCGAUUCCUCAGCACCUCA
rnacentral:tRNA from 1 species